rnacentral:misc_RNA from 1 species
CAAAGACCUCAGUGGAAGUAGGACUGGUUAACCAGACUGAAGCUGUGUCUGAUAUGCCAGAAGUUCCGGGUCAGCUUUCAAGCAGUAAUGAGGGAUCAGUUGGUGUCUCUUCUAUGGUGGUUGAAACAGUAGAAGAGGUUGACACUACUCCAAGAGAAGUCACUACUGGAUCCAGUAGUGCUGGUGAUGACGAGGAGCCAGAAAGCAUAGAGUCAAGCGUAUCACAAAGUGUUGAAGGAGUGGUUGAAACUGUAGAGGAGGCUGAAGCUGCUACAAAAGAAGUUGACAUGGGGUCCAGUAGUACUGGAAAUGAUGAACAGCCAGAAAGCAUAGAGUCGAGCAUAUCACAAAGUGUUGAAGGAGUUACUGAAACAGUAGAGGAAGCUGAAGCUACUCCAAAAGAAGUUGCUGUGGGAUCCAGUAGUGCUGGAGAUGACGAGGAGCCAGAAAGCAUUGAGUCAAGCGCGUCACAAAGUGUUGAAGGAGUGGUUGAAACUGUAGAGGAGGCUGGAGCUGCUACAAAAGAAGUUGCCAUGGGGUCCAGUAGUGCUGGGAAUGAUGAACAGCUAGAAAGCAUAGAGUCAAGCAUAUCACAAAGUGUUGAAGGAGUUAUUGAAACCGUUGAGGAAGCUGAAGCUACUCCAAAAGAAGU